rnacentral:rRNA from 1 species
GUGCACCAGGCGCGAAACCUCCGCAAUGCGGGAAACCGCGACGGGGGACCCGAGUGCCGUGGCAACGCCACGGCUUUUCCGGAGUGUAAAAGCUCCGGGAAUAAGGGCUGGGCAAGGCCGGUGGCAGCCGCCGCGGUAAUACCGGCGGCCCGAGUGGUGGCCGCUAUUAUUGGGCCUAAAGCGUCCGUAGCCGGGCCCGUAAGUCCCUGGCGAAAUCCCACGGCUCAACCGUGGGGCUUGCUGGGGAUACUGCGGGUCUUGGGACCGGGAGAGGCGGGGGGUACCCCUGGGGUAGGGGCGAAAUCCUAUAAUCCCAGGGGGACCGCCAGUGGCGAAGGCGCCCCGCUGGAACGGGUCCGACGGUGAGGGACGAAGGCCAGGGGAGCAAAACCGGAUUAGAUACCCCUGUAGU